rnacentral:rRNA from 1 species
UACAGAGGUGGCAAGCGUUGUUCGGAAUUACUGGGCGUAAAGGGCGCGUAGGCGGUCUUGUAAGUCUCGUGUGAAAUCCCUCGGCUUAACUGAGGAACUGCACGGGAUACUGCUUGACUUGAGUUCGGGAGAGGGAAGCGGAAUUCCGGGUGUAGCGGUGAAAUGCGUAGAUAUCCGGAGGAACACCAAUGGCGAAGGCAGCUCGCUGGGACGGUACUGACGCUGAGGCGCGAAAGCGUGGGGAGCAAACAGG